CAUCUCCCAUGACCACCGUGGCCCGUGGGGCCCUCGGCAGCAGCGAUGGCGGGGCUGGCAGGGACCGCUUGCACAGCUGCCGCUUGCACAGCUGGCACCCCUCAAGCUCUGAGAUAGCAACGCCCGGCGAUUGGCUGUCUGCCCGAGCGGCCGCCGCUGAUUGGCCAGCGGGACGGAGGGGCGGAUCCAGGCCAGGUUUUGGCGGAGCAAAGCUCCUCUCAUGUGAUGCAUAAUCAGCUGUAACUGAGUUCACAACCCUCCUGAGUUGUGAUGAACUGCAAUGGCUCGAGACCAUGGCACUGGGAGUACUGGCACAUGGAUAACCCCGACUGAGGAGCAGCUGGAUAUCUGGUGACCAGACACUUCUGGGUUUUAACAUGGGCCCAGUAAAAGCUAUUUUCAGCCUAAAUGAUCUUUGAUACCGAAACUAGAGUUAACCUGGCUGGUGAGCAGAGGAGAUCAUCUGUUCUGAGAAAUAAACCAAGGGAGAAGGAGGUGGGAGAAGAGUAGGAAGAAAACAAAGGAGACGGACUCUUUAGGGAGAGGAAUAAAUUUGGAAACAUGCAGUGAUGGAAAAAGGAACAGAAGAAAAACUGCUGUUGCAUCUCCCUAUCACUCCCUCUCAGGUCCCUGUCCCUGCUCAACUGCCAGCCACAUUUGUCAUUUGUAAUUCUCAACCUUCUUAAAUAGAUGGGACUAAGAAGCAAAAACUGACUCAAAGCAACUCCCCUCACUUUUGCUAUUGCCAAUUUUAGUAAUUUUUUGUCAGUUUGGUUGUUAAUAAGGACUCGAUUCUAAUUUCACCAUGUGCAGCAGUAACUUGUUAACAAGCUGCUCCAAGAGAUCUUUGUAGGACAGUGGAAACCAGGGAGAAGGAAUAAUUACAGCAUUUCCACCUAUGGCAGACUGCUUAAGGGCAGGUGUAAAUAGAUCCAUAAAUGUUUUUUCACUUAAAAGUUCAGCCCAACUGCUUUCUCAAUUUCCAGCACCAGAAUUAAUAGAUAGGGUUUUUUCCUAAAAAAUGAGGGCAAAAAUUAUCUACUAGAUAUCACCCUCCCUUCCCACUAGACUGCAAGUAGUAUUAAAAAAGUUUCAGAAUUUUUACCAAAACCAGAUGUUGGGUGUAUAAAAGUACAGGCAGUUUUUCAAAGCAUUCUAUUUGUUUGGAAAGGGAAGGACAAUUAGAUCCGAAAACUCAAUUCAGCUUCAGAACAGAGGAACUUAAGCGGGAAAAAAAGAAGGAAAUUACAUUUCAUUCACUUGGUGCAUCCAAAAAGUUCUGGACUGGCGCAUGCAAAGAGUAACUCCCUUUGGAGCAGCACCACAAGCUUUGAGAAAGCAGUAGCUAAAGUGUCUGAAAGCAUCCUGUUUCUUGUCCUCUGCUCUCUGAAGAGCAGAAGGAGCACAACACAAUGCCCAGAUGGGGUGGAACAGGAGUCCCCAGAUUAUGGGGACAUUGAUCUGUGAGCUGGGCAGUGGGACACUUGCAUCCAGUUUGACCAUCCCAGAAAUAACCUACCUGACUCAAAGAAGGAUUGGAAACCUCUCCUCAGGGCUCAGCACACCUUGAUGCAGGAGGAAGAAGAGCCCAGUGUGGGUGGCCUGGACCUCUCUCUGGGAGCAACACUCCCACAGCUUCAUCUGCUUCUGGCUGGAACCUAAAGCCCUGCCAACAUCCAUUUGUCCCCGCACCAAGUCGUUUAAAUAAACUUCCCCAGUGUGGACUCAAAUAAAUGCAAUAAACAUUUGUGUGGCUCCUUGGGAGCUCAGCUAAUGGACUGCUUGGAAGGACUUGCUACCUCUGGCUUCCCAUACUGAAACCUCACCUU